CGAGUGCCCCGAGCGUUAUCCGGAAUCAUUGGGCGUAAAGGGUGUGUAGGUGGCAGUGUUAGUCUAUUGUUAAAACCUGGGGCUUAACCCCAGAUGUGCGAUAGAUACGGCACAGCUAGAGGAUGGCAGGGAUGUAUGGAACUCAUGGAGUAGGGGUGAAAUCCGUUGAUAUCAUGGGGAACACCGAAAGCGAAGGCAGUACAUUGGGCCACUCCUGACACUGAAACACGAAAGCGUGGGUAGCGAAUGGGAUUAGAUACCCCAGUAGUCCACGCCCUAAACGUUGAUGACUAGCUUUAGGGAGUAUCGACCCUCUCUGAGGCGAAGCAAACGCGUUAAGUUAUCCGCCUGGGUAGUACGGCCGCAAGGCUA
rnacentral:rRNA from 1 species